CACUCCUACGGGAGGCAGCAGUGAGGAAUAUUGGACAAUGGGUGGAAGCCUGAUCCAGCCAUCCCGCGUGCAGGAAGACGGCCCUAUGGGUUGUAAACUGCUUUUAUCUGGGGAUAAACCUACUUACGUGUAAGUAGCUGAAGGUACCAGAAGAAUAAGCACCGGCUAACUCCGUGCCAGCAGCCGCGGUAAUACGGAGGGUGCAAGCGUUAUCCGGAUUUAUUGGGUUUAAAGGGUCCGUAGGCGGACUGAUAAGUCAGUGGUGAAAUCCGACAGCUUAACUGUCGAACUGCCAUUGAUACUGUUAGUCUUGAGUAAGGUUGAAGUGGCUGGAAUAAGUAGUGUAGCGGUGAAAUGCAUAGAUAUUACUUAGAACACCAAUUGCGAAGGCAGGUCACUAAGUCUUAACUGACGCUGAUGGACGAAAGCGUGGGGAGCGAACAGGAUUAGAAACCCCUGUAGUCCCA
rnacentral:rRNA from 1 species